rnacentral:ncRNA from 1 species
UGAUAGAGGUGCGGCGGCGAUCAGUAGCCUCCCCCGGUACCCAGGCCGGCGGGGGAGGGGAAAGGCGUCUCCGCCGAGGUCUCCGGGACGGGCCUGACGGGCCGGAGGCUGGGCUGUGGGAGAAGAUCCCCCAGACUGUCGCCCCUUCUUGGGGGCGGAGCGCUGUCGU